rnacentral:rRNA from 1 species
ACGGUACAACGAGUCGCAAGACCGCGAGGUUUAGCAAAUCUCUUAAAGCCGUUCUCAGUUCGGAUUGUAGGCUGCAACUCGCCUACAUGAAGUCGGAAUCGCUAGUAAUCGCGGAUCAGCAUGCCGUCGGUGAAUACGUUCCCGGGCCUUGUACACACCGCCCGUCACACCAUGAGAGUUUGUAACACCCAAAGCCGGUGGGGUAACCUUUUGGAGCCAGCCGUCUAAGGUGGGACAGAUGAUUAGGGUGAAGUCGUAACAAGGUAUC